AACGAACGCUGGCGGCAUGCCUAACACAUGCAAGUCGAACGAGACCUUCGGGUCUAGUGGCGCACGGGUGCGUAACGCGUGGGAACCUGCCCUUAGGUUCGGAAUAACUCCCCGAAAGGGGUGCUAAUACCGGAUAAUGUCUUCGGCCCAAAGAUUUAUCGCCUUUGGAUGGGCCCGCGUUGGAUUAGCUAGUUGGUAGGGUAAAAGCCUACCACGGCGACGAUCCAUAGCUGGUCUGAGAGGAUGAUCAGCCACACUGGGACUGAGACACGGCCCAGACUCCUACGGGAGGCAGCAGUGGGGAAUAUUGGAAAAUGGGCGAAAGCCUGAUCCAGCAAUGCCGCGUGAGUGAUGAAGGCCUUAGGGUUGUAAAGCGCUUUUACCCGGGAUGAUAAUGACAGUACCGGGAGAAUAAGCGCCGGCUAACUCCGUG
rnacentral:rRNA from 1 species